rnacentral:rRNA from 1 species
UACGGAGGAUGCGAGCGUUAUCCGGAUUUAUUGGGUUUAAAGGGUGCGUAGGCGGAUCGUUAAGUCAGUGGUCAAAUUGAGGGGCUCAACCCCUUCCCGCCAUUGAAACUGGCGAUCUUGAGUGGAAGAGAAGUAUGCGGAAUGCGUGGUGUAGCGGUGAAAUGCAUAGAUAUCACGCAGAACUCCGAUUGCGAAGGCAGCAUACCGGCGCCCUACUGACGCUGAGGCACGAAAGCGUGGGUAUCGAACAGG